AGCAGCCACGCUGUAAAUAAUGCUGUGGCUUGAUGACAUGAAGCCUUUGCAGUAUUACUGGUUCCUAGCAGCUCCUUGUUCCUACCCUUGCAAUGCAGCAUACCAUCCCUUAGUUGCGUCUGCAGCUUUUUGUGUGGCUGAGCCAUGGACCAGAUCAAAACACUCAUCCAUCUGAACAAUAAUCCAGAUCUAGAAAGCAUUUCUUGUCAAGUCUGAAAAUGAAGACAGAAAAUCCAUAUGCAAAUAACAGGAAAAGUAGCAGUUGGAAAAUUGAACGGAGAAGCAAAAUCCUAUCAUGCAGAGGUUUAAAGGUCACCAAGAUUUUGAACCCUAUGGCUGUUUCUUUAAGUCCUGAUGCAGAAUUAUGAGGACAGGAAUAUGGAUUUAUUACAUGAGUUUCUUGAUGAUAGUUACAAAUCUUUGCAGAGUGAUGGAUGUCCUCUGUUGUGCUUUACCGUUAAGCUGAAUUCUCAUGUGGGAGAUGAUGGGAAUGUCUGGCUUUUGACUGCUUCUAGACCAGUGCCCACCCUUGUGGCAGAAGUUAGUGUCCCAUAGAGAAUGAACUGGGACCAAAACUCAGGUGUCAUGGUACUGUCAUCUCUUCUGCAAAGAGAUCCUUUUUUUUUUUCUCAAUCAAGGCAUACAAGUAUAUGCAUAUGCAUGUAAAAUGUACUUUUAUUCUAUUUUUUUUCUCAUAUGGAAAAAAUAUGUAUUGUUAUGAGAACAUACACACUGAGAAUAUUACUUACACGUCGAAUUGUAUUCACUUAGCUGCAACAUUUAACUACCCAGGUAUAACAGAUGUUUAUGAUAGUUUCAUCAAGGUAGCUGCUUUGUAAUAGUUACGACCUUCUGCUUUAUCCUAGAAGACCAAGAGUUAAAGAACAGUUUUGUGUGUGUUGUUUUUUUCUUUCUUUCUUUUUUUUUUUUUUGAAACGACCUAUAAAUCAAUGUCUUUGGCAACAUUUUCGAAGUUUAAUUUAUGUUCUUUUCUUGCUCCUAGUGAAGCUCUGCAGUGGCAGGAAGGUGGUGAGCAGCUCGGGGCAUUCUUUCAUUUCAGUACUUUGCUCAGUCUCGAAGGUUUCUUGUGCUGUCCCUCCAUUACAGUGCACACCCAUGCUGGGAUGCUCAAAGUAUGAGUACCCUCUGCUGGCAUGUUUUUGUACUGGGCUCUGUCCUGCUGCUCUUCCAUCUGGCUGUCUUAACGUGUAGUAUGUUGCCCAGUUAUCCUUGUCUCCAUGUAUUAAUUUUGGUAAUCUCUUUUAGUAACAGAAUUUUGUCUUCACUUAAGGUAUUUGCAAGGAGA